rnacentral:rRNA from 1 species
UGCCCUUGGGUCCGGCAUAACCCCGGGAAACUGGGGAUAAUUCCGGAUAACGCAUAUAUGCUGGAAUGCUUUAUGCGUCAAAUGGAUUCGUCUGCCCAAGGAUGGGUCUGCGGCCUAUCAGGUAGUAGUGGGUGUAAUGUACCUACUAGCCGACGACGGGUACGGGUUGUGAGAGCAAGAGCCCGGAGAUGGAUUCUGAGACAUGAAUCCAGGCCCUACGGGGCGCAGCAGGCGCGAAAACUUUACAAUGCGGGAAACCGUGAUAAGGGGACACCGAGUGCCAGCAUCAUAUGCUGGCUGUCCGGGUGUGUAAAAUACACCUGUUAGCAAGGGCCGGGCAAGACCGGUGCCAGCCGCCGCGGUAACACCGGCGGCCCGAGUGGUGAUCGUGAUUAUUGGGUCUAAAGGGUCCGUAGCCGGUUUGGUCAGUCCUCCGGGAAAUCUGACGGCUUAACCGUUAGGCUUUCGGAGGAUACUGCCAGGCUUGGAACCGGGAGAGGUAAGAGGUACUACAGGGGUAGGAGUGAAAUCUUGUAAUCCCUGUGGGACCACCUGUGGCGAAGGCGUCUUACCAGAACGGGUUCGACGGUGA